rnacentral:rRNA from 1 species
GUGGGGAAUAUUGGGCAAUGGGGGCAACCCUGACCCAGCGACGCCGCGUGGGUGAAGAAAUCCUUCGGGAUGUAAAGCCCUGUUGUAUGGGAAGAGCAGAAGACGGUACCAUACGAGGAAGCCCCGGCAAACUACGUGCCAGCAGCCGCGGUAAUACGUAGGGGGCAAGCGUUGUCCGGAAUUACUGGGCGUAAAGCGCACGCAGGCUGAAUUAUAAGUCGGUAGUCAAAUACGGAGGCUCAACUUCCGGAUAUCUAUCGAUACUGUAAAUCUAGAGUAUGUAAGAGGGAAGCGGAAUUCCCCGUGUAGCGGUGAAAUGCGUAGAUAUCGGGAGGAACACCAGUGGCGAAGGCGGCUUCCUGGCACAAUACUGACGCUCAUGUGCGAAAGCUAGGGCAGCGAACGGGAUUAGAUACCCCUGUAGUCC